rnacentral:snRNA from 1 species
AUUGCUUCUUGGCCUUUUGGCUAAGAUCAAGUGUAGUAUUUGUAAGACAUACACACAGACACACAUAGUUAUUAAAUAAUUGGACUACUC